rnacentral:tRNA from 1 species
UGCUUGGGUAGCUCAGUUGGUAGAGCACUUGCCCGCAGAAGGCAAAGGUCCCGAGUUCGAGUCUCGGUCCGGCAC